GGACCAAGAACUUGAAUCCAAAACCUAAAGAUUAAGUUGUGAUGGUUCAUAUUUGUAGAGGUAAGGACCCAACGGCUAUGAGGGUUUUAGGUGGGUUUGGUAGGUGUGUUUAAUUGUGAUAAUAAAUAGGAUUAGGAAAUGUGUAUAUUAGGGAGUAAUGUAUUAUGGAGUAGGUGUAUAUUUGAAAAGAUAUUUUUGGCUAUUAAGUAAUAGGAUAUAUAUGUUUUUAUAAAGACUUGUAUGAUAUUUUCACAAUAAUUCUAAUAGUCCCCUUCGAAAAUAAGGUCAUAAGCUACUAAGGUUUGGGCUAGUACUUGGGUUAUGGGCUUAUAUUCGGAUGAUGUGUGUAUUUGGUUAAAUGGAUGGGAUAUAUAUGGGUAUUAGUGUAUCUGGAUAUGUGGGUGUUUGGUUAUUCGGAUAUGGGUAUGCGGAUAUUUAGGUUUAAUGUGUUCCUAUAAAAGGGUGUGUUUGUGGGGUUUUUCUUUUUGAUUGGUGGUGCUAGGGUUUUGGUUUGGUUUGGCGGGAGUCGCUUUGUUUCACAGGUUUUCUUCCCUUCCUUCUCCUUCUUGCAUUUUAUUUUCUGCUCUUCCUUGAUGUAUGUUAUUCAUUCCGAGUUGCAUCAGUAGUGUUUUGUAUAGUGUUCCCGUUACUGGUUUUGUGAACAUAUCGGCUACAUUCAUUUUUGAGUCUACUCUGUCUAUUUUCAAAUUUUUUCCAUGAUUUUGUCGCGCACUGUGUGAAUGUCGAUCUCGAUGUGUUUUGUUCUUUGAUGUAGUACUGGAUUUUUUGCUAUUGCUAUUGCUGUCUGUGUAGAGUAUUGGGGUCUCAUUUUUGUAGGUUCCGAUUUCUUUUAGUAGGUUGAUGAUCCAUGUUAUAUCGCAACUUGUGUAUGCUAAUGCCCUGUACUCUGCUGAUGACCGAGCAACUGUGUGUUGUUUCUUUGUUUGCCAUGAUAUUAGGGACCCUCCAAGAAAGAUGGCGAACCCUAUUGUUGAUCUCCUUGUUGAAGGGCAUGAUGCCCAGUCAGAGUCUGAGAAGGCUCUUAACCCUGAAGUGUUGGACCCUGAGAAGGCGACAGCAAAACCAGGUGAUUGUUUAAUAUAUCUUAGCACUUUAUGUGCUGCAUUUAGGUCCUUUUGCCUUGGUUUGGCCAUGUUUUGGCUUAAUGUAUUUACUGCGUAUGUUAUGUCUGGUCUUGUUACUGUUAGGUAUACCAAUUUUGUAUGACAGGAGAGGGUGUCCUGUUUAUUAAGUAACUUGCUGUUAAUAUGCAUUCUCCCCAGUAUUUUAUUGGUGUUUGGGAGUGAAACAUUAUGCUUUUAGCUACAUCUAGUAGGUGUCUAUGUUUUCUUUCUACAAUAGAGUUUUGUUGGGGGGUAUAUGGACAUGUCAACUGAUGUCUUAUGUCAUAUUUUGCUAGAAAUAUCUUGAACUCCUGGGAUUGGAAUUCAGUUCUAUUGUCACUCCUUAUGGUUCUUAUCUUCGUUUUGAAUUGAUUCAUUGCUUCUAUUGUGAAGUUUUUGAAGAUUUCAUAAGUAUUGCUUUUGUUUCUCAUUAGUAUUGUCCAUGUUGCCCUAGAAAAAUCGUUCACUAUGGUCAUAAAAUAUUUAUGUCCUUUGUGGGUUGGUUCUUUGUAGGGGCCUCAUAGGUCUAUAUGUAGCAAUUCAAAAAUCCCUGAGGUUUUAGUAUUGCUAGAGGGAAAAGAGAAUCUAGUAUGUUUUGCCAUUGGGCAUUCAUUACAAAAUGCAUUCUCCAAUUUUGGUAAAUAAGCAAUGUUUUUUCUAAUUAAAUCAUAUCUAAUCUGGGAUGGGUGUCCCAGUCUCUUGUGCCAAAUGUUUGCUGAUGGUGCUCUGUUGACAGCAUACGACCUUGGUUGUUCCAGGGCUUCUUUUCUUCCAUUCAGCAUGUAGAGCCCAUCGAUCCUUUUACCCAUAGAAAUCAAUCUCAUCUUCGAAUCCUGUAUCAAACAAUGAUCAGGGUGAAAUGAGAAGCUACAUUUUAACUGCUUUGUAAGUUUUGUUACUGAUAUCAAAUUUACAUUGAAGUUAGUAAUCUGUAGUACAUUGUGUAAUGUUAAUAGAUCGUCUAUUUUGUAAUUCCCAAUGUAUCUCACAGUUGUUGUUUGUGAGUUUGGGAGGUUUACAACAAUAGGUUUUACUAAUGCCCUUUUUCACUUAGUGUGAUGGCUGGUCCACACAUGUGAUCUGUGGCUCCACUGUCUAUUAUCCAGUCAGUGGUGUUUUUAGUUUUUGUAUUGAAACAGAGUGAUUCUUGGGGCUUACCAGUAUGGUUUGGGUUCAUUUCUGGUUGUGCUUGUGCUCUGCCCAUAUGUACAGAAUGUUUUUCCUCUCCUGCUUGUUGAUUUUGAUUUUGGUUAAGGAGGGAUCUUAGCUGUUCCAUUAUGUCUUGAUUGUUUUGAUUCCCACUCUGAUAUUCAGGUUGGCUAGCGUUGUUGUUUUGAUAUCCAUUGUCGUUUUCAGUUGUGUAAUACUCCUGGUUUAUUUCUUCCAUUGUGUAGUUGUUUUCAUUUUCCUGCCAUUGUUGGUUUUCAACUUCCUCAGAGUAGUUGUUGUAUGCCCUGGUCUGUGGUCUGAAAUUGUUGUUGAAGUUUCUGCCUCUUUGAUAGUUGUGGCCUCUAGUUGGUUGUCCAGAUGGUCUGAAGGGUGGUCUUCUUUGUUGAUUGAAUUGUGGUUGGAAGGAUGAUCUGGGAUUUUGUUGAUUAUUUACAUAUGCUGGUCUUUCUGCAGGGUAACCAUGCAAUUGGUAGCAUGUAUUGAUUGUGUGUCCUGGCCUUUUACAGCCAGUGCCGUAGGGUCUUUCAUUCUGUGGCCUUGGUGGUCUGAGGUCCUUGUGCUAGUAGUGUUGUUGCUGAUUCUUUUGGUGUCUCCAUGUCCUUUGUUUGUUCAUCUUGGGUCACCAUUGAAUAAGCUCUGUUUAGAUCAGGCUGAGGAUCCAUUUGCAUUAUUUGUCUGUUUAGCUGUUUAUAAGUCUCAUUUAGUCCAUUCAGGAACUUUAUGAGUCUUUCUUCUUGUAUCACUUCUACACUUUUUCUGCUCAUGUCGUAUUCAUUCCAUAGUUUUGUCAGUUUUGUGUAGUAGUUGCAGACUGAAUCUUCUCCUUGUGUGAGAUUCAUGAUUUUUACUUGUAACUGGAAAACUAGUGGUCCAUUUUGUAUGUGGAAUCUUGCUUUCAAUUCCUUCCAUAGCAGAUGUGCUGAUUUAUAGAAGAUGAAAGCUGGAGAGAGUUCUUGACUCAGUCCGUUUAGUAUCCAAGACCUUACUAGAGCAUCAGUUGCUUUCCAUCUCUCGUAUUCUUUCUCAUUUGUUUGUUCGGGAGUGGGUAUUUCACCUGUUAAGAACUUCUCCUUGUUUUUGGAUUCCACAGCUAUAACAAACUGUGCACUCCAAAUGUUCCAGUUGUUUCCAUCCAUCUUGAAUGGUACUAACUGGAUUCCUGGAUUGUCUGAAUAUGUUGGAAUAACAUUUUCAUUUGACAUUUUGUUUCUGAAAAAUAAAUAAAUGCAGAUGAUCAGAAUGAUGCUGG
rnacentral:lncRNA from 1 species